GAUGAACGCUGGCGGCGUGCCUAAUACAUGCAAGUCGAGCGAACGGACGAGAAGCUUGCUUCUCUGAUGUUAGCGGCGGACGGGUGAGUAACACGUGUAUAACCUACCUAUAAGACUGGGAUAACUUCGGGAAACCGGAGCUAAUACCGGAUGAUAUUUUGAACCGCAUGGUUCAAAAGUGAAAGACGGUCUUGCUGUCACUUAUAGAUGGAUACGCGCUGCAUUAGCUAGUUGGUAAGGUAACGGCUUACCAAGGCAACGAUGCAUAGCCGACCUGAGAGGGUGAUCGGCCACACUGGAACUGAGACACGGUCCAGACUCCUACGGGAGGCAGCAGUAGGGAAUCUUCCGGGAUGGGCGAAAGCCUGACGGAGCAACGCCGCGUGAGUGAUGAAGGUCUUCGGAUCGGAAAACUCUGUUAUUAGGGAAGAAGAUAUGUGUAAGUAACUGUGCACAUCUUGACGGUACCUAAUCAGAAAGCCACGGCUAACUACGUG
rnacentral:rRNA from 1 species